UACAGAGGUCUCAAGCGUUGUUCGGAUUCAUUGGGCGUAAAGGGUGCGUAGGCGGCGCGGUAAGUCGGGUGUGAAAUCUCGGAGCUUAACUCCGAAACUGCAUUCGAUACUGCCGUGCUUGAGGACUGGAGAGGAGACUGGAAUUUACGGUGUAGCGGUGAAAUGCGUAGAUAUCGUAAGGAAUACCAGUGGCGAAGGCGGCUUCUUGGCCUGUUCUUGACGCUGGAGGCGCGGAAAGCUGGGGGAGCAAACGGG
rnacentral:rRNA from 1 species